CUAGUGUUCUAUAAAUACUUUACGUUCUUCUCGGGAUCCCUCACAAUUAUUACUUCUCUUACAAAUCUUUGACUCUUUUUCUUCAACCAAAAAAGGAAAAAAAAAUAUUGUUUUCUCUUUUCAGUCCAAACUAGAUCUGUUAUCGCUCUAAAAAGAGACUGUAAUGUCGAAAGAUUUGCAUUCAGAUGUAGAGAAAUCUGAGACCCCUUUGAAGCCAUUCAAGAUUUUCGUAGGCUAUGAUCCACGAGAAGAUGUUGCGUAUGAGGUUUGUCGUUAUUCCCUUUUGAAAAGAUCAUCAAUUCCACUUGAGAUAACACCCAUUAAGCAAUGUGAGUUGAGGGAGCAGGGUCUGUAUUGGCGUGAAAGAGGGAAACUGGAAAGUACUGAGUUUUCAUUUUCGCGAUUUUUGACGCCUUACUUGGCAGAUUAUGAGGGUUGGGCUAUGUUUGUUGAUUGUGAUUUCUUGUACUUAGGGGAUAUUAAAGAAUUGAGGGAUAUUGUCGAUGAUAAAUAUGCUUUAAUGUGUGUACAACAUGAUUAUACUCCUAAAGAGACUACGAAAAUGGAUGGUGCAGUGCAAACGGUUUAUCCUAGGAAGAAUUGGUCGUCCAUGGUUCUUUAUAACUGUGGACAUCCAAAGAACCGAGGGCUAACACCUGAGGUGGUGAAUGCUGAGUCCGGGGCAUUUCUUCAUCGCUUCAUGUGGUUGGAGGAUGAGGAGAUUGGGGAGGUUCCAUUUGUGUGGAACUUUCUUGUGGGGCAUAAUAAGGUUGUUGAAGGUGAUCCAGCUACAUUUCCUAAGGCGAUUCACUAUACACUUGGUGGACCCUGGUUUGAAGCUUGGAAAGAUUGUGAAUUUGGUGAUUUGUGGUUGAAGGAAUUGGAAGAGUCCAAGAAGGCAAAGGAGAAGGUGGUUUGAGCCAAUGUAGACAACAUUGUUUGAAUCGCAGGGUGUAUGUUAAGCGGUAUUCUCUGUGAAAGUUGAUUAACACUGCUGAUUGCAUAAGCAUCAGACGCUGUAGAGGAUUGUUGGCCACUGGCCAAUCUUCUCCUCAGAAUUCUACCUCUUAAUGUGGUAACUGCAACAGAAAAGAGAGGAAUCCUUCAAUAUGAUCAUUGAGGUUUCAACGUGAAAGAAGAUCACGUAAUGUACAACAAUAAUGUAAGGUAGCUCAUGAACUCUGCAACUAACAGCUUUAAUGAAGUACUCGGUGUCCCAAUUUUAAAUGCCAACUUUCCUUACAUUUGUAUGAUUGAACUUGGCAGUAUCCUCAUUGUAGUAAUCCAGCUACACUACUUUUUUUAGCUGAUUGAGAUUGAUGUCUGUUGAAUGAGCAAUUUUUGUAAAAUCAUUGAACGAUUGUACACUCUACCUUCCCCAUACCUCACUCGUGGGAUUACAAAAGAUAUGUUGUUGUUCAUUGAACAAUUGUCGGUUGUAAAAAAAAUUUGCAGUUUUGAUGAAAUGAUGAUUAGUUGGAGUACCUGUUAUUUUAACAUUUUAAAACCUGUAGUCUUUCCUCACAUAUCUGUCAUUUGAGAUAACUAUCAUAGAUCCUUCUAGGUUUUGUGGAAACAACUAAUGCUACACGUUUCAUUUUUCUCUACCCUACGACAGGGACUCAAUACCAAUCUUUUCUAUCAUACUGCUGUUACUAAUUUUUACUUACUUUGUUCUCCGAAGAUGGCGGAGCUAGAAAUUUAUAUAAGGGGAAUCAACAAUUAUUGAGUGUAAAUCAUUAGGUCUUUUUGGUAAUGUAUGAGUAAUUUAACACUCUUAACAAUGUCUAAUGAAAAAAUGAGAAAGAUGUGUACAUUGGCCAAUUAUGAGAAGACAAGUAGUAAUUAUUGAAAACGACCAAAUCCAAAUUUCUUAUUAAAAUUACAAUUGAGACAAAUCAGGUGUCUUACUCUACAGAAACUUUUGAGUUGUCUUUAUAAACCAUUUACUGAAAGUAUUUUUUAAAAAAAUUUAAAAAUCUUGUCAAGCUAUAGAGCAAGAGCUCUCUCUCUCUCUGUCUUUAGUUGAAGUAUUAGAGAAGAAGUAGAAAAAUGGAUGCACCACAAUAUCAAGAGAUGUCUUAUGUUGAGCAUGUCAAACGUCGACGCGAGGAAAAAGGAUGCCUUUAUGCUUGUGUGUUCGCAACGUGUUGCUGCUUCUGUUGCUAUGAGACCUGCGAGUGCUGUCUGGACAUGCUCUGCUGCUGUACUUGAUGUCCAUCCUAGACAUGCCAACCCUGUGUUACUAUGUUAGCAACAUAUUACAAAUUCCCUGUUUUCUCACACUAUGUCUCUUUUGUUACCUUACCUCCCACUCUAUGUUUGAAAACUGUGAAGUUGAAUAAACUUGUGCUUGCUUUUAAGUCAUUUUCUAUUGAAUUUCAACGUACAACAUUUUAUGGUA